GCUGCGGGCUCCGGACUUUGACAAUCCCCGAGUGCGAUCCCAGGUCAGGCGGGGCUACCCGCUGAGUUUAAGCAUAUCAAUAAGCGGAGGAAAAGAAACUAACGAGGAUUCCCUUAGUAGCGGCGAGCGAAUCGGGAAGAGCCCAGCAUGAAAAUCGUCCGUCAUCGGCGGCCGAAUUGUAGUCUGGAGAAGCGUCCUCAGUGACGGACCGGACCCAAGUUCACUGGAAGGUGGCGCCGGAGAGGGUGAGAGCCCC
rnacentral:rRNA from 12 species